rnacentral:rRNA from 1 species
CCUACGGGUGGCUGCAGUGGGGGAUAUUGCGCAAUGGGCGAAAGCCUGACGCAGCGACGCCGCGUGGGUGAUGAAGGCCUUCGGGUCGUAAAGCCCUGUCGAGGGGGACGAAGGAGUUCCGACCUAACACGUCGGGGCCCGGACGGUACCCCUAAAGGAAGCACCGGCUAACUCCGUGCCAGCAGCCGCGGUAAUACGGAGGGUGCGAGCGUUGUUCGGAAUCACUGGGCGUAAAGCGCGUGUAGGCGGUCCGCUAAGUCUGGUGUGAAAGCCCG